rnacentral:rRNA from 1 species
CGGUAUUUUGACCGUGCAAAGGUAGCGCAAUCACUUGUCUUUUAAAUGAAGACCUGUAUGAAUGGCACAACGAGGGCUUAACUGUCUCCUCUUUCAAGUCAAUGAAAUUGAUCUCCCCGUGCAGAAGCGGGGAUAUAAACAUAAGACGAGAAGACCCUAUGGAGCUUUAGACACCAAAGAAGAUCCUGUCAAAUAACCCCUCACAAGGGCCUGAACUACAUGGAAUCCUUCCCUAAUGUCUUUGGUUGGGGCGACCGCGGGGAAACAGAAAACCCCCACGUGGAAAGGGAGCACCCCCUCCUACAACUGAGAGCCGCAGCUCUAAUUAACAGAACAUCUGACCAAUAAGAUCCGGCAAUGCCGAUCAACGGACCGAGUUACCCUAGGGAUAACAGCGCAAUCCCCUUUUAGAGCCCAUAUCGACAAGGGGGUUUACGACCUCGAUGUUGGAUCAGGACAUCCUAAU